rnacentral:rRNA from 1 species
UACAGAGGGGGCAAGCGGUGUGCGGAAGUACUGGGCGGAAAGGGCGUGUAGGCGGUCUUGUAAGGGGGACGUGAAAUCCCUCGGCUUAACCGGGGAACUGCGUCCGAUACUGGAUGGCUUGAGUUUGGGAGAGGGAUGCGGAAUUCCAGGUGUAGCGGUGAAAUGCGUAGAUAUCUGGAGGAACACCAGUAGCGAAGGCGGCACUCUGGGCCGGUACUGACGCUGAGGAGCGAAAGCGUGGGGAGCGAACAGG